UGCCAGCCGCCGCGGUAAUACGGAGGGUGCAAGCGUUGUUCGGAAUUAUUGGGCGUAAAGCGGGUGUAGGCUGUUGGGCAAGUCAAGUGUGAAAUCCCUGGGCCCAACCCAGGAACUGCACUCGAAACUGCUCGGCUAGAGUCCCGGAGAGGGUGGCAGAAUUCCCGGUGUAGAGGUGAAAUUCGUAGAUAUCGGGAGGAAUACCAGUGGCGAAGGCGGCCACCUGGACGGUGACUGACGCUCAGACCCGAAAGCGUGGGGAGCGAACAGGAUUAGAUA
rnacentral:rRNA from 1 species